rnacentral:rRNA from 1 species
CCACUCCGAACCUGGAAAUUAAGCAGUCGCGGGCCACAUCAGUACUGGGCUGGGCGACUUCCCGGGAACGUGCGGUGCUUGCUUCUU